rnacentral:rRNA from 1 species
CGACCGGCGCACGGGUGAGUAACGCGUAUCCAACCUGCCCACCACUUGGGGAUAACCUUGCGAAAGUAAGACUAAUACCCAAUGAUAUCUCUAGAAGACAUCUGAAAGAGAUUAAAGAUUUAUCGGUGAUGGAUGGGGAUGCGUCUGAUUAGCUUGUUGGCGGGGUAACGGCCCACCAAGGCAACGAUCAGUAGGGGUUCUGAGAGGAAGGUCCCCCACAUUGGAACUGAGACACGGUCCAAACUCCUACGGGAGGCAGCAGUGAGGAAUAUUGGUCAAUGGACGAGAGUCUGAACCAGCCAAGUAGCGUGCAGGAAGACGGCCCUAUGGGUUGUAAACUGCUUUUAUAAGGGAAUAAAGUGAGAGUCGUGACUCUUUUUGCAUGUACCUUAUGAAUAAGGACCGGCUAAUUCCGUGCCAGCAGCCGCGGUAAUACGGAAGGUCCGGGCGUUAUCCGGAUUUAUUGGGUUUAAAGGGAGCGUAGGCCGGAGAUUAAGCGUGUUGUGAAAUGUAGACGCUCAACAUCUGAACUGCAGCGCGAACUGGUUUCCUUGAGUACGCACAAAGUAGGCGGAAUUCGUGGUGUAGCGGUGAAAUGCUUAGAUAUCACGAAGAACUCCGAUUGCGAAGGCAGCUCACUGGAGCGCAACUGACGCUGAAGCUCGAAAGUGCGGGUAUCGAACAGGAUUAGAUACCCUGGUAGUCCGCACGGUAAACGAUGGAUGCCCGCUGUUGGUCUGAAUAGGUCAGCGGCCAAGCGAAAGCAUUAAGCAUCCCACCUGGGGAGUACGCCGGCAACGGUGAAACUCAAAGGAAUUGACGGGGGCCCGCACAAGCGGAGGAACAUGUGGUUUAAUUCGAUGAUACGCGAGGAACCUUACCCGGGCUUGAAUUGCAGAGGAAGGAUUUGGAGACAAUGACGCCCUUCGGGGCCUCUGUGAAGGUGCUGCAUGGUUGUCGUCAGCUCGUGCCGUGAGGUGUCGGCUUAAGUGCCAUAACGAGCGCAACCCCUCUCCUUAGUUGCCAUCAGGUCAUGCUGGGCACUCUGGGGACACUGCCACCGUAAGGUGUGAGGAAGGUGGGGAUGACGUCAAAUCAGCACGGCCCUUAC